rnacentral:lncRNA from 1 species
UCACCUCGUCUGGUUGGGUUAAUCCGGUCCCUUAACUCCUUUUGAGUCUUUUUUUUGUUUUUGGGUUUUGGUUUUGUUGGGUAUUUUUCUUGUGUUCGUUUUUGUGGUGGUGGUGGUUUUUUUGUUUGUGUUGGUUUUUUUGGUUGUCUUUGUUUUUGUGUGGUUGCAAAUUUUCGUUUUUUUGAAGGUUGUUGUUCUUGUGGCUCCUCUUCUUGGUUUGAUUCAUCACUUGGUAUAACAUUCCAUGCCGGUGUUUCUUCUAUAUAAUCUUCUUCUGAAUCUUCUCCAUAAUCCUAUAUUCUCAAAAUAAAACAUAUAAUAAGUCAUAUUAUGUUUAAAUGCUGAAAAAUAAACAUAAAAAAAUCAGAUUUGACAUCCUUCCUUGCGGGGCUUGUAACUCAUUCAAUUUUUAACCAAAUUAAGUGUGUUUAUAGUCUAAAUUCAACUACAAAUCCUAAUCUACAUGUAUGAAAAAGAUUCAGGUCAAAAAAAGUUAAAUUGAAUGAGUUAUGCACAUUUGAACAACAAAAUUAGAUCAUGUUUUAUUGCUGUUAGAAAAAAAAAUAUCAGAUUUGACACCCUUCCUUGCGGGGCUUGUAACUCAUUCAAUUUUUAACCAAAUUAAGUGUGUUUAUAGUCUAAAUUCAACUACAAAUCCUAAUCUACAUGUAUGAAAAAGAUUCAGGUCAAAAAAAGUUAAAUUGAAUGAGUUAUGCACAUUUGAACAACAAAAUUAGAUCAUGUUUUAUUGCUGUUAGAAAAAAAAAUAUCAGAUUUGACACCCUUCCUUGCGGGGCUUGUAACUCAUUCAAUUUUUAACCAAAUCAAGCGUUUUUAUAGUCUAAACUCAACUACAAAUCCUAAUCUACAUGUAGGAAAAAGAUUCAGAUCAAAACAAGUCAAAUUGAAUGAGUUAUGCACAAUUCAAAAUUUGGACAGAUUGCUAAAGAAGUAAAUAUUGCUAAUGAACUAAAUGCUAAUCUUACUUGGUCAUCAAAGUCUUUUCCAAUCCAAUUAGCCGGAUUACCAUCUUCAAUAUUGGCAUCAUGAACAUCCGAGUUUCGGUAUCUUGAUGAUGGUACAUUUGGUAACCCAUCCAAAUCCU